AAGAUUAAGCCAUGCAUGUCUAAGUAUAAGCAAUUUAUACAGUGAAACUGCGAAUGGCUCAUUAAAUCAGUUAUCGUUUAUUUGAUAGUACCUUUACUACUUGGAUAACCGUGGUAAUUCUAGAGCUAAUACAUGCUAAAAUCCCGACUGUUUGGAAGGGAUGUAUUUAUUAGAUAAAAUACAAUGCUUUUCGGAGCUCUUUGAUGAUUCAUAAUAACUUUUCGAAUCGCAU
rnacentral:rRNA from 1 species